UACGGAGGGUGCAAGCGUUGUCCGGAAUCACUGGGCGUAAAGGGCGCGUAGGCGGCUCAUGAAGGCUGUGGUGAAAGUCCGGGGCUCAACCCUCGGAUCGGCCGUGGCGACUCGUGGGCUGGAGCACUGUAGAGGCGGGUGGAAUUCCGGGUGUAGCGGUGGAAUGCGUAGAGAUCCGGAAGAACACCAGUGGCGAAGGCGGCCCGCUGGGCAGUGGCUGACGCUGAGGCGCGCAGCGUGGGGAGCAAACAGG
rnacentral:rRNA from 1 species